rnacentral:rRNA from 1 species
GAUGAACGCUGGCGGCGUGCCUAAUACAUGCAAGUAGAACGCUGAAGGAGGAGCUUGCUCUUUCCGGAUGAGUUGCGAACGGGUGAGUAACGUGUAGGUAACCUGCCUGGUAGCGGGGGAUAACUAUUGGAAACGAUAGCUAAUACCGCAUAACAGUAGAUAUUGCAUGAUAUCUGCUUGAAAGGGGCAAUUGCUCCACUACCAGAUGGACCUGCGUUGUAUUAGCUAGUUGGUGAGGUAACGGCUCACCAAGGCGACGAUACAUAGCCGACCUGAGAGGGUGAUCGGCCACACUGGGACUGAGACACGGCCCAGACUCCUACGGGAGGCAGCAGUAGGGAAUCUUCGGCAAUGGACGGAAGUCUGACCGAGCAACGCCGCGUGAGUGAAGAAGGUUUUCGGAUCGUAAAGCUCUGUUGUAAGAGAAGAACGAGUGUGAGAGUGGAAAGUUCACACUGUGACGGUAUCUUACCAGAAAGGGACGGCUAACUACGUGCCAGCAGCCGCGGUAAUACGUAGGUCCCGAGCGUUAUCCGGAUUUAUUGGGCGUAAAGCGAGCGCAGGCGGUUAGAUAAGUCUGAAGUUAAAGGCUGUGGCUUAACCAUAGUACGCUUUGGAAACUGUUUAACUUGAGUGCAAGAGGGGAGAGUGGAAUUCCAUGUGUAGCGGUGAAAUGCGUAGAUAUAUGGAGGAACACCGGUGGCGAAAGCGGCUCUCUGGCUUGUAACUGACGCUGAGGCUCGAAAGCGUGGGGAGCAAACAGG